CGAAGGUGGCCUGUGAGGGUUGCUGGAGGUAUCAGAAGUGCGAAUGCUGACAUAAGUAACGAUAAAGCGGGUGAAAAGCCCGCUCGCCGGAAGACCAAGGGUUCCUGUCCAACGUUAAUCGGGGCAGGGUGAGUCGACCCCUAAGGCGAGGCCGAAAGGCGUAGUCGAUGGGAAACGGGUUAAUAUUCCCGUACUUGGUGUUACUGCGAAGGGGGGACGGAGAAGGCUAUGUUGGCCGGGCGACGGUUGUCCCGGUUUAAGCGUGUAGGUGUGUGUUCCAGGUAAAUCCGGUUCACUUUAACACUGAGGCGUGAUGACGAGGCACUACGGUGCUGAAGCAACAAAUGCCCUGCUUCCAGGAAAAGCCUCUAAGCAUCAGGUAACAUCAAAUCGUACCCCAAACCGACACAGGUGGUCAGGUAGAGAAUACCAAGGCGCUUGAGAGAACUCGGGUGAAGGAACUAGGCAAAAUGGUGCCGUAACUUCGGGAGAAGGCACGCUGACACGUAGGUGAAGUGAUUUACUCAUGGAGCUGAAGUCAGUCGAAGAUACCAGCUGGCUGCAACUGUUUAUUAAAAACACAGCACUGUGCAAACACGAAAGUGGACGUAUACGGUGUGACGCCUGCCCGGUGCCGGAAGGUUAAUUGAUGGGGUCAGCGCAAGCGAAGCUCCUGAUCGAAGCCCCGGUAAACGGCGGCCGUAACUAUAACGGUCCUAAGGUAGCGAAAUUCCUUGUCGGGUAAGUUCCGACCUGCACGAAUGGCGUAAUGAUGGCCAGGCUGUCUCCACCCGAGACUCAGUGAAAUUGAACUCGCUGUGAAGAUGCAGUGUACCCGCGGCAAGACGGAAAGACCCCGUGAACCUUUACUAUAGCUUGACACUGAACAUUGAGCCUUGAUGUGUAGGAUAGGUGGGAGGCUUUGAAGUGUGGACGCCAGUCUGCAUGGAGCCGGCCUUGAAAUACCACCCUUUAAUGUUUGAUGUUCUAACGUGGACCCGUGAUCCGGGUUGCGGACAGUGUCUGGUGGGUAGUUUGACUGGGGCGGUCUCCUCCUAAAGAGUAACGGAGGAGCACGAAGGUUGGCUAAUCCUGGUCGGACAUCAGGAGGUUAGUGCAAUGGCAUAAGCCAGCUUGACUGCGAGCGUGACGGCGCGAGCAGGUGCGAAAGCAGGUCAUAGUGAUCCGGUGGUUCUGAAUGGAAGGGCCAUCGCUCAACGGAUAAAAGGUACUCCGGGGAUAACAGGCUGAUACCGCCCAAGAGUUCAUAUCGACGGCGGUGUUUGGCACCUCGAUGUCGGCUCAUCACAUCCUGGGGCUGAAGUAGGUCCCAAGGGUAUGGCUGUUCGCCAUUUAAAGUGGUACGCGAGCUGGGUUUAGAACGUCGUGAGACAGUUCGGUCCCUAUCUGCCGUGGGCGCUGGAGAACUGAGGGGGGCUGCUCCUAGUACGAGAGGACCGGAGUGGACGCAUCACUGGUGUUCGGGUUGUCAUGCCAAUGGCACUGCCCGGUAGCUAAAUGCGGAAGAGAUAAGUGCUGAAAGCAUCUAAGCACGAAACUUGCCCCGAGAUGAGUUCUCCCUGAGACUUUAGGUCUCCUGAAGGAACGUUGAAGACGACGACGUUGAUAGGCCGGGUGUGUAAGCGCAGCGAUGCGUUGAGCUAACCGGUACUAAUGAACCGUGAGGCUUAACCUUACAACGCCGAAG
rnacentral:rRNA from 1 species